GUGGAUUUGAUUGAGAUGUUUGCAUUUGAAUCUCAACAACGGCAGUGAUCAGACGACAUUUUGAAGGAGCAGAUCAACAGCGAGCAUGUUAAGAGUUUAAUGAAGAAAACUUUCACAGUUUUCCCACUAAAGAGGAGCAGUUUAUUGAGGCAGAUUUUGAUAAAGAGAAUGGGUGCCAUACAUCAGACCUCACAUUAAAUCAGGGAUGAAUCGAGAGAUGUCAUCCUCUGUUGCUGGUCUAUCUGUAUGAAUAAGAGGAAGAGCUCAUCCAGGAGUGCAAUUGUGGGAAUGCACAGAGAAUUGCUGUCUGUCAGAGGGAUGACCAACCAUGAGGACUUCUGCAUUGUCUUGGAGGAUAAGCGAGUCAUGGCUAGCCUGGAAAAUCUAGAAUCGCUGAA